rnacentral:rRNA from 1 species
GACGAACGCUGGCGGCGUGCUUAACACAUGCAAGUCGAACGGAAAGGCCCUGCUUGCAGGGUACUCGAGUGGCGAACGGGUGAGUAACACGUGGGUGAUCUGCCCUGCACUUCGGGAUAAGCCUGGGAAGCUGGGUCUAAUACCGGAUAGGAGCCAUUUUUAGUGUGAUGGUUGGAAAGUUUUUUCGGUGUAGGAUGAGCUCGCGGCCUAUCAGCUUGUUGGUGGGGUAAUGGCCUACCAAGGCGGCGACGGGUAGCCGGCCUGAGAGGGUGGACGGCCACAUUGGGACUGAGAUACGGCCCAGACUCCUACGGGAGGCAGCAGUGGGGAAUAUUGCACAAUGGGCGCAAGCCUGAUGCAGCGACGCCGCGUGGGGGAUGACGGCCUUCGGGUUGUAAACUCCUUUCGCUGGGGACGAAGCUUUUUGUGACGGUACCUAUAUAAGAAGCACCGGCUAACUACGUGCCAGCAGCCGCGGUAAUACGUAGGGUGCGAGCGUUGUCCGGAAUUACUGGGCGUAAAGGGCUCGUAGGUGGUUUGUCGCGUCGUCUGUGAAAUUCCGGGGCUUAACUCCGGGCGUGCAGGCUAUACGGGCAUAACUUGAGUACUGUAGGGGUAACUGGAAUUCCUGGUGUAGCGGUGAAAUGCGCAGAUAUCAGGAGGAACACCGAUGGCGAAGGCAGGUUACUGGGCAGUUACUGACGCUGAGGAGCGAAAGCAUGGGUAGCGAACAGGAUUACAUACCCUGGUAGUCCAUGCCGUAAACGGUGGGCGCUAGGUGUGAGGGUCUUUUCACGACUUUCGUGCCGUAGCUAACGCAUUAAGCGCCCCGCCUGGGGAGUACGGCCGCAAGGCUAAAACUCAAAGGAAUUGACGGGGGCCCGCACAAGCGGGGGAGCAUGAGCAUUAAUUCGAUUCAACAGCGAAGAACAUAACCUGGGCAUGUCAUACCCCAGUUCGACGCAGAGAGAGUAGUUUCCCUCCCCGGCUGGUGUACAAGUGACACAUGGUGCUCGUCAGUUUGCAUCGCGAGACGUAGGAUUAAGUCCAGCACCGACAGCAACCCCAAUCUUAUGUUGCCAGCACCAGCUUGGGGACUCACGAGAGACUGCCGGGGCUCAACUCGGAGGAAGGUGGGGAUGAGGUCAAAUCAUCACGCCCCUCACGUCCAGGGCUUGACACAUGACACAAUGGUAGGUACAAAGCGCAGCGACAGUGUGAGGUGGAGUCGAAUCGAUGAAAGCAGGCCUUAGUUCAGGAUUGGGGUCUGCAACUAGACCCCAUGAAGUAGGAGUCGCUAGUAAUCGCAGAUCAGCAACGAUGCGGCGAAUACGUUCCCGGGCCU